AUUGAACGCUGGCGGCAUGCCUUACACAUGCAAGUCGAACGGUAACGCGGGGCAACCUGGCGACGAGUGGCGAACGGGUGAGUAAUGCAUCGGAACGUGCCCAGUAGUGGGGGAUAGCCCGGCGAAAGCCGGAUUAAUACCGCAUACGACCUAAGGGUGAAAGCGGGGGAUCGCAAGACCUCGCGCUAUUGGAGCGGCCGAUGUCGGAUUAGCUAGUUGGUGGGGUAAAGGCUCACCAAGGCAACGAUCCGUAGCUGGUCUGAGAGGACGACCAGCCACACUGGGACUGAGACACGGCCCAGACUCCUACGGGAGGCAGCAGUGGGGAAUUUUGGACAAUGGGCGCAAGCCUGAUCCAGCCAUGCCGCGUGCGGGAAGAAGGCCUUCGGGUUGUAAACCGCUUUUGUCAGGGAAGAAACAGUCUGCGUUAAUACCGCGGACUAAUGACGGUACCUGAAGAAUAAGCACCGGCUAACUACGUGCCAGCCGCCGCCGUAA
rnacentral:rRNA from 1 species